rnacentral:rRNA from 1 species
AUUGAACGCUAGCGGGAUGCUUUACACAUGCAAGUCGAACGAGUGGCGGACGGGUGAGUAAUAUCUCGGAACGUGCCCAGUAGCGGGGGAUAACUACUCGAAACAGUGGCUAAUACCGCAUACUAUUGGAGCGGCCGAUAUGGGAUUAGCUAGUUGGUUGGGUAAAGGCUCACCAAGGCGACGAUCCGUAGCUGGUCUGAGAGGAAGACCAGCCACACUGGGACUGAGACACGGCCCAGACUCCUACGGGAGGCAGCAGUGGGGAAUAUUGGACAAUGGGGGAAACCCUGAUCCAGCCAUCCCGCGUGUAUGAGAAGGCCUUCGGGUUGUAAAGUACUUUUGGCAGAGAAGCGUUAUCUGCAGAAUAAGCACCGGCUAACUACGUGCCAGCAGCCGCGGUAAUUC